UGGGGAAUAUUGGACAAUGGGCGAAAGCCUGAUCCAGCCAUGCCGCGUGUGUGAAGAAGGUCUUCGGAUUGUAAAGCACUUUAAGUUGGGAGGAAGGGCAGUAAGUUAAUACCUUGCUGUUUUGACGUUACCAACAGAAUAAGCACCGGCUAACUUCGUGCCAGCAGCCGCGGUAAUACGAAGGGUGCAAGCGUUAAUCGGAAUUACUGGGCGUAAAGCGCGCGUAGGUGGUUCAGCAAGUUGGAUGUGAAAUCCCCGGGCUCAACCUGGGAACUGCAUCCAAAACUACUGAGCUAGAGUACGGUAGAGGGUGGUGGAAUUUCCUGUGUAGCGGUGAAAUGCGUAGAUAUAUGGAGGAACACCGGUGGCGAAAGCGGCUCUCUGGCUUGUAACUGACGCUGAGGCUCGAAAGCGUGGGGAGCAAACAGGAUUAGAUACCCUGGUAGUCCACGCUGUAAACGAUGAGUGCUAGGUGUUAGACCCUUUCCGGGGUUUAGUGCCGUAGCUAACGCAUUAAGCACUCCGCCUGGGNGAGUACGACCGCAAGGUUG
rnacentral:rRNA from 1 species